UACGUAGGGGGCAAGCGUUGUCCGGAAUCAUUGGGCGUAAAGAGCGUGUAGGCGGCCCGAUAAGUUCGGUGUGAAAGUCCAGGGCUCAACCCUGGGAUGCCGGUGGAUACUGUCGGGCUCGAGUCCGGAAGAGGAGUGUGGAAUUCCUGGUGUAGCGGUGAAAUGCGCAGAUAUCAGGAGGAACACCAAUGGCGAAGGCAGCACUCUGGGACGUGACUGACGCUGAGACGCGAAAGCGUGGGGAGCAAACAGG
rnacentral:rRNA from 1 species